UGACCCCAGCCUAAAUAUUAUUGUCAAUUCGAAGGGGAAAUGUUUAUGUUGUUACUGUUUGUGCUGACUUUGACAGUGAUCUUUGUGCUGUUACAGAUGUUUCCAUGCUUCCUAUGAAACCUCCAAGAAAUUGUCCGCUUCAGGAUUUGCCAGGAAACCAGCUCGCCAGACUCUUCACAGAAAGAAUUCACUUGUUUGCUCCGUUGCAUGACGCAAUUCGAUAUAGGAUUGAUUUAGCAUUGGGGCAGCGAUAUGACUGUUGAUAUGACUGUUCUCUGGAACAAGUGUAAUGGCAAAUUCGCUUGCUGUCCCGUUAUUGUACAGAAAUCAUUAAAAAAAAAAAAGAAAUGGUUUUGUAGCAGUCACUGAGAUGUAAUCGUCAGGGCAAUGUACUGGUAGAGAACCACGGAGCAAAAUAUGCAGGAGAGCCGUCUCUGGCACUGGCUAAUGCGUUUGCUCAUUUUUGUUAACGAUGCAGCAGACCCACUUGCCCUCAGCUCGCGUAUUAUGCCACUGCCGUGCUCUCUGCCUUGCUGCUAACCCUCUGCACAACAGACCUUUGGCAAUGCUUCUCCCCUCCUUUCCUUCUCCAGGCUGCUAGCGCAAAUACAGCAUGCUACGUGCCGUUGAAAUUGAAUAGCACACAGCUAUCUUGAGAAGUGGCUCUUAUUCAGCCGAAGAGCGCUGCGUAGCAGGCGACAAGAAAUGAACGAAGCUGCGUGUUGGUCUGAUUUAAAAAAUGUGCUUUGCAGUGCUCGAUUGUUGGAUAAGUGUUGCAAGCUUAAAUCAGUUUCUUUCAUUUGACACCCACUCGUCUCAAACGGUUGUCAUGCUUUGCAGUUGUUGUGGUGCAUUGUAUUGUUUCUGCCAUGGUUUUAGUCCUAAGCUUGCGCAUGUCGGUUUUCCUACGUUUUGUCCAAAUCAAAGGGGAUUUCUCGUUGAGCAUGUAAUGGCUUUAGGUCAAGCUUGUUCAAUGGUGAAUUAGAGAAGUCAUGAACAGUUUUGUUCUCGGAUGACAGUGUAGGUGUAAAUGAAAUUUAAAAAUUUCCUUUUCGUGUCGCAUACGAUCGAAGGGUUGCUAAGUGAGUGAAGUAAGAAUGUUCCUAAAAGCUGCACCUAUGUUCCUAAGAACAUAGCUGGAAAACGGAAGGUAUAAUUUCUGGUUAUAGUGCAUUUUUAGUUGUACUUCUUUUGUCUCUUAAGUUAUCUUCGCUGCAAUGUUAUCCACAAGUUUGUUUGCUUAUUCAAAUAAUCAUUGCAUCAUUAGGCAUGCGCAAAAUCUAGCAAAAGCCUAGAUAUUCCUGAUGGCUUAUUUGCUACUAAUAGCUUGAAAAGGCUGUGGAUUGGCGAUAGUGAAGGCUUCAUGCGAAUACUUUGUGCGGAUUUUGAGUGAGAACAUUCAUGCAGAAUGAUCAGGACAAGUGAAUGUCCACACGUAAGCAUCUGCGGUGUAAGCUAAAGCAGACAACAAAGAUUUAUGCACACUGAUGUGCGGCAGGUGACAUACAGCGCAAGUCUCUGUAGUUCGAGGUGAAACAGAAGGGGCGAAGGUAACAACUGUGAUUGGUGACGCCGCUACAAAAGAAACGCACCAAAUCUAGCAGCUGGUGUGGAUCAACGGCAAGUGUUGCCCUCUGUACAAGUGGCAAAACUGCCCUUUUGUCAUAUCAAAAAGGAAACACUACUAUCAAAUCAGUUGGCUCGCCUAUAUAUCUUAAUCCUUAUAUUACUUACUUUGUGCGGAGAACGUAAUCCAGGCAAUGUUAUAUAUAUAGCAUGGAAUUCUGCCUGUCUUCAGAAAUCUGUGUUUAGUUUGUGCGUGUUUGUGUUAGCUUCAGCGACAGAAAUAAAAACUGGUGGAUAAGUUACCUUGAGUACAUUGUAGUUUCACUUUGCUUUUGCUGAAGCAAUGAAAACAUAGUUGUGCUUGUUUACAAUUCUGUAGAGAGAAAAAAUUUUUUGUUCAAUGCACAGAAAAGUGUCAGUGUUCUCCUCCGCUUGCAAGUGUAGUGCCAGUCUAACCUUUAUAAAUGCUGUGUUUAUUUUUUAUUUUAUUUUUUUAUGUUUCUCAUUUUCUGUCAGAUUAAUUUCAUUCAUAUUCAUAUUUCUUUUCGACUUAUUCAUGCAUUGAAAUAUCAAAUUGUGAUGCGAAAAAAGUGUCAUCUUAGUUUAAUAGGUGAGUGUGCAAUGCAGUGUUAAAAUACAUGGAGUAAUUUUACUGUUUAGGCAUAAUAUCAAAAUUUCAUGCCAAAUUUAACUUCUAUGUAUUGACAGAAGAAAUUGGUAUGUGUAGAGCAAUAGGACCUUGUGUUACAUUUGUGCUACACUGUUGCCAAGACCUUUGCCAAGACGUGUAAGCACUGUAGCCAAGGUGUGGUUUGGGGAGUCAAAGGUUAUCAUGUAUUUUGCCCACAAGUGUGCCAAGUCUUUAUGAUUGCCAGGUUCAGCCUCAUUUGCAUUGCUUUCUUGUCCGCUCUGUGACUUUGCAGGUUCCUUGCCGUCGGGUUCCCUCGAGCAGUACGAUUCGCUCGUGUCCGUGCACAGGCAGCUGCAUUCCUGCUGGCUGUGCAGUUACAAGUCCGAGAGCAAGUGCGACAUGAUAAAACACCUGCGCAUACACUCAGGCGAGCGCCCCUACCAGUGCCACCUCUGCCCGAGCACAUUCAUUCAGAGUUCCCACCUGAAAAGGCAUCUACGCACCCACACGAGAAAAUGACCCUUUUCCUAUGUGCAAUGCGGUGUGUCCUUUUUGCAGAAGGGGAAACUCUUUAUCCACACGUCCUGCCACGCAUGGAAGAAGCCCUAAAGGUGCAGCCAGUGCUUCUGCAGCUUCCAAACCUUUGUGAGGAAUCUGGCAACUUCAAAGAGUGCAAGUGCGUGCCCACCAAGCCGCCACAGCUGGAUGCAUGCGUUAAGUGAAGCUGACAGCCAAGACCACCGCCGAAGUGGCAGCCAGAGUUGCAGCAGCUAGCAGGGCACAUCCUGCCUUAAAACAUGAUUUCUCGCCGCAGACUGCUGACCAGGAGCCUCCACAGUUGAAGCAGUGGUCACCACCACAGUCCCUUCUUUCAGUGUUGUCAACAUUGUAUCAGUUGGAUUGUGCAUUCUUAACGAGAUAAUGCCAGUGAGUCUCAGCAUUGUACGCUAUUUACUCUUUGAAACAAAUUCUUAAAUCGAUGUUAUUCUGUGAGAUUGGUAUUGGUACAUUUUCUUCAAGAAAUAUAUGGCCCAGAUUCGAGUUAACAUAUUACACGAGGACUUAAAAGUGGGCGAGUUAGAAACUAGCUAUUCUUGGACAGCACACAAAAAUGAAAAACGAGAAAGAAUACAACACACGAAUGUUUUGUUGCUAUGCGCGCCGCCCAAGGAUGGUCAACAUAUUAAGUGUGGGAACUUAAGCAAGUUUAUUGUUCAUAAUGCCCUUUCUGAAUUCCAUUUUCCCUUCUCUUGUUGUGCUACGUUUUAUUUAUUUAUUGAUACAUCUGCUGCAGGCUAUGGCAGGAUUGCGGAAAAUGUCCCAUGUAUCGUGUCUUGUGCUCUGUGCUUAUUCUUGCCACAAGCCCUGUGUCUGGCCCUUAUAUAUGGGCCAUUUAUUACUAAGAGUGACACCUGAUAUAAGUGCAUGUACUCUCAGCUUAAAUUUUGAUUCAAGCCUUCAACACUAAUCCUUAUUUUAAGGGCAUUAGCCUAACGUGCCUUGUAAACCUCUUUUUCCUGUUGAGUACAAUGAAUGUUAAAGUUAUAUAUGCUUUAAUACAAUCGACAUGUUUCUCCUAAGUUACCCUAUAUUUGCAUUGUCUUUCUACAGCCUUAUAAAGACUGUGACCUGAGGUAUAUUGUGUACCUGGUGAAUGUUGUCAGCACGUAAUGAAUGUAGCUGGCCAUAUGACAUAAUGAGCUUCUGUUGACUUACCUUCUUUUUUUCUGGGCUGCGAAAGCCUAUCGCUAUAGUUGUUCUUGCAGGGAAGUUUUGCAGUUGUGUCCUGGAACAGAAUUCUUUUACUAGUGGCUCGUUAGCAGCAAAUAGCAGGUGGUGUAUGGAUGCUUUGCUCUUUUAAACAUUGGCCCUCUUUCUAGUCUCAUAUGUGUUUAGCAGAAGCUGAAAUCUGAAGCCAAAAUUAGGGUGACUACAUCAAAUACUAACCUUCCUGAAGUGAAACAUAUGCAAGAAACACUGAAAUAUGUGUGUUCUUUCUAAUUGCAGUAGUCGUACUUUAAAGUGCACUUUUUUCUUUAAUUAGUUAACAUAAGGUUACCUGGAAUAGUGGUUAUUUAGGAAUAAUAAAAUGGUAGCGACAUCAGGGUGAUCGAUGCUAGAUAUGGACUAAUAAGUGUUUUUUUUUUUGUUUCAGUGUCCUUUAACAUUGCAGUUAUCAAUACGUGGUUAUGCUGGCAUGUUAGCAAUGCAUGGUUUUACUCUUGUUUUCUGGAACUUUAUGGUGUUCAGAGAAAUUGAUACAAUUAGCCCAGAGAAUUGAAGCUGCUGCCCAAAGAUUAGACGUUUCUGAAUCCAAGGAAAGACUACAUGUUGUCUGGUUUCAUGUAUAGCACCUUUUUGCAUUGUACAUUAUGUCUGAGUUGUGAACUUGGUUCUUUGAACUGCAUUUGCUUUCACUUUGCACAUUACUGGUAUUCAUUGUCAAUACUGCUUUACUGCACAGCAUACCUACCGUUGCUAUUCUUUUUUACUUAUUGAGAAGGCAGUAUUGUUCACAUUAUUUUAGCAAACAAGUUUCUUGUACUGUUGAUGUAUUAAAGUGCCAUGAAUGUAUGGUUCUUAUGCUGUGUUUGUAGCAACCAUUAUAUGCUUCAUUGGAGACUAUGUUGUACAAUCUUGAAGCAGUACUAAAAAUAGGUCUUUCGAAUUUAUUUUUACCCCGUACACUGACUGUGCUGUCUUUAAGUGCAUUUCAGCGAGUUUCAGCUGUCUGUUAUGAGUAGCUGUCUCUGGCAGUCGAACUACAAGUGUCCACGUGCGCUGAUCCCUCUGCAUUCAGUAAUUACCAUCCAGGUAGCAGCCGAUGAAGGAUCGAGGUGGGAGAUAUGCAUAUUUUCUGGCAGGUUGUCGAGGGACGACGAGUGCAUGUGCAUUCUAAAUAAAGAUUGUGUUAUGAUGCUCCAUUAACUGAGGUCAUCUCCAAGAAAGUCAUGUUGACAUUUGAUGAAGCCGGUAUAUCUGCUGCACAAUUUAUUGAGAACAUUUUACUGCCUAUGAACAAUUCUUUAAAUGUACUAAAUUUAAGUGCAGUUAUUUUUGUAUUUUUUUACAUGCACAUUGCUUACUUUAGGCAGCUUGUGAUCAUACUAUAAUCACAAGGUAAAAAAAGCUUUCUUAAAAAUGUCACUAUGCUGCUGUCAGUCAUUUACGAAAAAGAAAAAAAAAAUCUGCUAAAGUGGGAGCACAACUGGUAUGAGGAGUGUAACCAGAUGAUUCGUUUCUCAGACAAAACAAUUGCAUAUUAGUUGCCCGAUUUCUUCAAAAAGCCCAAUUCACAGGACAUUUUGUCUUAAGAAAUUGUUAAAAAUGUGGUCUUGACUGAAUAAAAAAUAAAAUUUUUACGUUAUAACUUUCAAACAACUUUUUAUACACCUCUGCACUAAAGGUGUAAGUUGGUUCAAAUAUUAAGUGAUUAAAGUCACAAUUUGGUUGUCAGCAUUCACUUCUCCCUGACCGCAUAAACGGGCAGUGACGUUUGAGUUUCACUUCUUGUUUUUAAGAAGUGUUACAGAUUCACAUGGAUGCUGUAGUCCAGGUCACAAAAAAUAUUUCCUACCGAUACGACUUUUAACUGCACGUUUAUGUGUGCAAUCAUGGAUUCAAAUAUCUUUCAAAUCAACAAGCUAAAAAUACAUUCAGAUACAUUCAUUCACCUUUGUCUUUUCUUUGCAACAUAUUUACACCUGUGGGAAAAGCCGUGCUUGAUAUGCAUGCAAAUGUUUUUAUUUUUAAGCCUCACUGUGAAACCACACAAAAGGUUUUGGAAACUGAUCUCACAUACCAAGAGUUGCACUCGGAUCGAAAUUGGUUUUAUCCAUGAUUCAGCUUGUCCCGUGGAGACCAGCCUAUUGUCUCUAA